GAAAAGAAACUAACUAGGAUUCCCUCAGUAAGGGCGACUGAAGCGGGAAGUGCUCACCGUGUGAAUCUGUACAGGAAAAAGAAAGCCCUGUACCGAGUUGUGGUCUGUAGAAGCAAUGUCUGUCAGCGUCUCGGGCCAAGUCCUUUGGAACAAGGCAGCAGAGAGGGUGAGACUCCCGUUCUUGCCUGUGACGUUUGACAAUGGCACAUGCCUUCGACGAGUCGAGUUGUUUGGGAUUGCAGCUCAAAGUGGGUGGUAAAUUCCAUCUAAAGCUAAAUAUUGGUAGGAGACCGAUAGCGAACAAGUACCGUGAGGGAAAGAUGAAAAGAACUUUGAAAAGAGAGUUAAAGAGUACCUGAAAUUGCUGAAAGGGAAGCGAAGGAAACCAGUGUUGUUUCGUCUCAUUCUUCCUGUGCUGCUUGCAGCAUAGGCGCUGUGGGUCGGGAUAGGCCAGCCUGGGUUUGGGUCGGUGCAAAUUGUCACUUCGGAGGUAGGUCCUUUUCGGGCUGAAGACGGUGUGAUGUUGCGCUGGUCUGGACUUACGCUGGCGAAAUGGUUUUCUUUACCCCGUCUUGAAACACGGACCAAGGAGUCUAACAUAUGUGCGAGUAUAGGGGUGGCAAACCCCCAUGCGUAAUGAAAGUAACAGUGGUAGGACCUUCUGGGGCACUAUCCGCCGGCCACAAUCCUUCGGGAGAAAGGUCUGAGUGUGAGCAUACAUGUUGGGACCCGAAAGAUGGUGAACUAUGCCUGAGUAGGGGGAAGCCAGGGAAACU
rnacentral:rRNA from 1 species